rnacentral:rRNA from 1 species
AAUCCAUAGGUUAAUGAGGCGAACCGGGGGAACUGAAACAUCUAAGUACCCCGAGGAAAAGAAAUCAACCGAGAUUCCCCCAGUAGCGGCGAGCGAACGGGGAGGAGCCCAGAGCCUGAAUCAGCAUGUGUGUUAGUGGAAGCGUCUGGAAAGGCGCGCGAUACAGGGUGACAGCCCCGUACACAAAAGCGCAUGUGCUGUGAGCUCGAUGAGUAGGGCGGGACACGUGGUAUCCUGUCUGAAUAUGGGGGGACCAUCCUCCAAGGCUAAAUACUCCUGACUGACCGAUAGUGAACCAGUACCGUGAGGGAAAGGCGAAAAGAACCCCGGCGAGGGGAGUGAAAAAGAACCUGAAACCGUGUACGUACAAGCAGUGGGAGCCCCACCACUAAGCCAGUGGUGAACUCCACAUCCGCAUCCUUUGCUGAGGAUACGGUUAACGGAGCGA